GACGAACGCUGGCGGCGUGCUUAACACAUGCAAGUCGAACGGAAAGGCCCUGCUUUUUUGGGGUGCUCGAGUGGCGAACGGGUGAGUAACACGUGAGUAACCUGCCCUUGACUUUGGGAUAACUUCAGGAAACUGGAGUUACUAUCGUAUAGGAGCCGCUGCACCAUUGUGGGGGUUGGAACGUUUAGGCGGUUGGGGAUGGAUUCGCGGCUUAUCAGCUUGUUGGUGGGGUAGUGGCUUACCAAGGCUUUGACUGGUAGCCGGCAUGAGAGGGUGACCGGGCACAUUGGGACUGAGAUACGGACCAGACUGCUACGGUGGGCAGCAGGGGGGAAUAUGGCACAAUGGGCGGAAGCCUGAUGCAGCAACGCCGCGUGCGGGAUGACGGCCUUCGGGUUGUAAAACGCUUUAGCCUGUGACGAAGCGUGAGUGACGGUAAUGAGUAAAGAAGCACCGGCUAACUACGUG
rnacentral:rRNA from 1 species